rnacentral:rRNA from 1 species
CAGCCGCCACGGUAAUACGUAGGGUGCAAGCGUUGUCCGGAAUCAUUGGGCGUAAAGCGCGCGUAGGUGGCCAUUUAAGUCCGCUGUGAAAGUCAAAGGCUCAACCUUUGAAAGCCGGUGGAUACUGGAUGGCUAGAGUACGGAAGAGGCGAGUGGAAUUCCUGGUGUAGCGGUGGAAUGCGCAGAUAUCAGGAGGAACACCAAUAGCGAAGGCAGCUCGCUGGGACGUUACUGACGCUGAGGUGCGAAAGCGUGGGGAGCAAACAGGAUUAGAUACCCCCGUAGUCCCUGUCUCUUAUAC